CAGAGGUCUCAAGCGUUGUUCGGAUUCAUUGGGCGUAAAGGGUGCGUAGGCGGCGGGAGAAGUCUGAUGUGAAAUCCCGGGGCUCAACCCCGGAACUGCACUGGAUACUCUCUUGCUAGAGCACUGGAGAGGAGACUGGAAUUUACGGUGUAGCAGUGAAAUGCGUAGAGAUCGUAAGGAAGACCAGUGGCGAAGGCGAGUCUCUGGACAGUUGCUGACGCUGAGGCACGAAGGCCAGGGGAGCAAACGGGAUUAGAUACCCCGGUAGUCCUGGCAGUAAACGGUGCGCGUUUGGUGUGGGGGGAUUCGACCCCCUCCGUGCCGGAGCUAACGCGUUAAACGCGCCGCCUGGGGAGUACGGUCGCAAGAUUA
rnacentral:rRNA from 1 species